AUUCGGUUUCUGAUUACAAAUUUGUUUCGAUCUGUCGAAUUUAGUUCGAACAUUUAAUCUGAGUGUUGAUAUUAAUAGAUCUAAAAUUAUUAGUGAUAAAUAGAUUUAGUAAAUCUUAUCAAACUUUGUUUCUGAUUAAAUUUGAUUAAAUUCAAAUAAAAAUUUAAUUUGAUCACUGAAAUUUUGUGGUUCAAAAAAAUAAUA
rnacentral:lncRNA from 1 species